ensembl:lncRNA
GAUCACCUUUCCAUGGAAAUCACACAGGAUGGAGCCCUUCCCGAAGGCCUUGGUUGCAACAACUCCUGUGGUCAAAAACAAAGUUUUUCUCUUCACCAGACCCGGCCAUUUCUGACUGGUCACCCCCCUGAUGAUGGCUGGGUCACUCUGUGCCUGUGCUCUGCUGAGUGGCCUCCACUUUGCAAUGAUGUCCUCUGGGCGGGGAUGAUUGGCCGUCCACCCCUCUGCCUCUAUGAGUUUAGCCACCUUCGCUGCAGUUGGGGCACAUCUUGAGCAUUUUGCUGUCAAAGAGAGAACAUUUAAAUUAAAAUUCAGGUUUCCAAACAAGUUCUAAGCAUGGCCUGGGCGGCGUUCUAGGUGCUAUUUCUGUUGGAUUAGAAAUAAUACAUAGAGAAGCAACACUCUCGCGUUCCGAAGCGCGGCCGCCAUUUUUAAACGGACCCGCCGGUUUUCGGCAAAUAUCUCUGCAAAAACUGCACCAAAAACCAUGAACAAGGUACCGUUCUUUUCAGCAAGAUGAGACGUUUACAAAGAGCUAAGCCAACGACGGAUACGUUGUGUUUCCGCCAAGAUAUUUCGCCGUGGGUUACCGUCGCGUCCAGGCCGAGCCAGAGGCCUGCUUUCAGCGACAAACACACGGGAUUGUUUGUUUAGGGAGAAGGUGAGCGGCUUUUUUUCAUUUGUUACGAACAUUAAUAACUGAAAACAUCUAGGUGAUACAGAUGAUGAUGAUCAUAACACUGAAGACGACACAUGAUGACAGGUAGCCAAGGAGAACAGGCCUGAUGAGACAUUGUAUAUAUA